UAGGGAAUAUUGCACAAUGGGCGAAAGCCUGAUGCACCAACGCCGCGUGCGCGAUGACGGCCUUCGGGUUGUAAAGCGCUUUUCGGGGAGAUGAGGAAGGACAGUAUCCCCGGAAUAAGGCUCGGCUAACUUCGUGCCAGCAGCCGCGGUAACACGUAGGAGCCAAGCGUUAUCCGAAUUCACUGGGCGUAAAGCGCGUGUAGGCGGCUUGGUAAGUUGGAUGUGAAAGCUCCUGGCUCAACUGGGAGAGGACGUUCAAUACUGCCGGGCUAGAGGGCGACAGAGGGAGGUGGAAUUCCCGGUGUAGUGGUGAAAUGCGUAGAUAUCGGGAGGAACACCAGUGGUGAAAGCGGCCUCCUGGGUCGCACCUGACGCUCAGACGCGAAAGCUAGGGGAGCGAACGG
rnacentral:rRNA from 1 species